rnacentral:rRNA from 1 species
GACGAACGCUGGCGGCGUGCUUAACACAUGCAAGUCGAACGGAAAGGCCCUGCUUUUGUGGGGUGCUCGAGUGGCGAACGGGUGAGUAACACGUGAGUAACCUGCCCUUGACUUUGGGAUAACUUCAGGAAACUGGGGCUAAUACCGGAUAGGAGCUCCUGCUGCAUGGUGGGGGUUGGAAAGUUUCGGCGGUUGGGGAUGGACUCGCGGCUUAUCAGCUUGUUGGUGGGGUAGUGGCUUACCAAGGCUUUGACGGGUAGCCGGCCUGAGAGGGUGACCGGCCACAUUGGGACUGAGAUACGGCCCAGACUCCUACGGGAGGCAGCAGUGGGGAAUAUUGCACAAUGGGCGGAAGCUUGAUGCAGCAACGCCGCGUGCGGGAUGACAGCCUUCGGGUUGUAAACCGCUUUCGCCUGUGACGAAGCGUGAGUGACGGUAAUGGGUACAGAAGCACCGGCUAACUACGUG